AGCCAAGCUCCUUCCCUCUAGAUGCCUGAUGGUCAAGCUUCCUCCCUACUUGUAGUCAAGCUCCCUCCCUCCUUUUAGUCAAGCUCCAUGCCUCGCUUUCUCUCCAACCCCCCUCUUUCUAGUCCAGCUCUCUUCCUCCCACCCUCUGACCCUCCAAGCUCCCUUCCUCCCUCUAGUCAACUCUUAUUCUCUCCCUCUCUUGCUUAAAGUUCCCUCUUCUCUCUUGUCGAGCUUCCCUCCCUCUAGUCAAACACUUCCAUGUCAAACACUUUUCAAGCCUCCCUUUCUCCCUCCAAGCACCCUCCCUCCCUCUAGUCAAGCUUCUUGUUGUUCAAGCUGCCUCCCUUUCUCCCUCCCUUUAGUCAAGCUCCCUGCCUCGCACUCUCUCCAACCUUCCUCCUUUUAGUCAAGCUCGCUUAUUCCCUCCCUCUGAGACUCCAAGCUCCCUCCCUCUAGUCAACUGUUAUUGUGUCCCUCUCUUGCUCAAAGUUCCCUCAUCCCUCUAGUCAACUUUUUUUCCUCCCUCCCUCUCUCCGUCCAAGCUCUCUCCCUGCCUCUACUCUAUAUGUUCAAGCUUACUCCCUCUCAACCUCUAAGCUCCAUUCCUCCCUUUAGUCAAGCACUUUUACUCCCCUUCUCUUACCUUUCAUGCUCCCUCCAUCUCUCCCUCUCUCCAGCGUCCCUCAUUCUAGUCAAGCUCUCUUUUUCUGUCUGUCUCACCCUCCAAACUCCCUCCCUCUAGUCAAGCUGUCUUAAGCCCCCCUCCAAGCUCCCUUUAUUCCACCCUCUCUCCAACCUCUCUCUUUCUAGUCACGCUCUCUUCGUCCCUCCCUCUCUCUAGUUAAGCGCUCUUCCUUCCUCCCUCCCUUCCUCUCUCCAAACCUUCUUUUUUUUAGUCAAGCUCUUUUUUCUCUCCUUACCCACCCCCAAAUCCUAUCUUCAUCUUCCUUAGCCACUCUUACCCUCUCCCUAAGCCCCUCCAUCUCCCUCCUUAUAUCUCUCCAAGCUCCAUCCCUUCCCUGUCUCUCCAAGCUCCCUCUCUCCCUUCUUCUCUCUCUCCAAACUUUAUCUCUUUCUACUGUUCUCUCCAAGCUCCCUCCCUUUCCUUUUCCCUUUCUCUCUCUCUCUCUCUCUCUUUGUUUUUGCUUUCCUUAGGGACAUUCAGCGUCACUGGACGAGCAACACCAGAGCUGAAGGUCAGAAUCCUGAUAACACAUGCAGCUGUAGAGGCUGGAGAACUUCGCCCAGGGUUUCCUUGAUGACAGAGACCAAAUGUUGACCAUAGGACCUAGACAGAGAUGUCAUCACAUGUGCUUCCGGAGGUUCAGUGCACCUGCACCUCUCCGAUCCCUGCAGCGCCGACGCAGAGGAGCCUCCGGAUCCCAACCACGUAGAGGAAGUGAUCACUGCAUCCUCUGUGCUGCUGGGCUUGGAAGCUCUUCAACUCACUGUUGGUCUCCCUCUGAGCAGAAGACGGUCAAGACGAGACAUCAACAAUAAGUUUCAUAGAUGAUGUACAAACAUCUGUUAUAAGCUUCAAUAAAUCAAUUCAAUGUUAAACAUAUACUUUUCUAUGUUUUGCUUUAUGUUUAAGUUCUACUGUGUGAUUGUAACUAUGUUGGUUCAUUUGUCCAUAUCAACUUCUUCCUUACUUCACUACUGUCAUAUCACAAGUCUGUAUUAUCCAUUUCCUGUUUUAUUUAGGUAAUUACACCAUGUCACCAU